rnacentral:lncRNA from 1 species
AUAGAGUUAUGAAAUAUUAGAACUAAAAUCCAAAUCCACAAUCCCGGAAUCACCAGGAAUGAGUAUGAACAACAUCUAAAUAUUACAUACCCAAAUGAAAUCCAAAUUAAGUCUAAGUCAUUACUACAAAUUUUAAAUCCCAAAAGUUCAAAAGAUAACAUCUAGGGAACUACGAGUUCCCAACCUGCUCCAUCAUACGGCGGUAAGCAAUCCCAUUGCCUGAGGUGGAUUUACGUGCGGUCUGCUUG